rnacentral:rRNA from 1 species
AGAACGAACGCUGGCGGCAGGCUUAACACAUGCAAGUCGAGCGCCCCGCAAGGGGAGCGGCAGACGGGUGAGUAACGCGUGGGAACAUACCCUCCGGUUCGGAAUAGCUCAGGGAAACUUGGAUUAAUACCGGAUACGGCCUAGCGGCGAAAGAUUCAUCGCCGGAGGAUUGGCCCGCGUUCGAUUAGCUAGUUGGUGAGGUAACGGCUCACCAAGGCGACGAUCGAUAGCUGGUCUGAGAGGAUGAUCAGCCACAUUGGGACUGAGACACGGCCCAAACUCCUACGGGAGGCAGCAGUGGGGAAUAUGGACAAUGGGCGCAAGCCUGAUCCAGCCAUGCCGCGUGAGUGAUGACGGCCUUAGGGUUGUAAAGCUCUUUCGCUAGGGACGAUAAUGACGGUACCUAGACAAGAAGCCCGGCUAACUUCGUGCCAGCAGCCGC